AACAACCGCAUUCCAUUACAACAGUUGUUUCCGGCCAUGGGAGGCUAAAGCAAGUUACAUUCAUUUAUUCACAACUUAACCGUCAUAUAAGUUGUUUCGACUUGUUCAGAUGAAGCUACUGAAGACGCUACAAUGCUUUUAGUUUGGGGUGACGCAGGCUGUUUUAGAACCCAGGAUGGCACCUGUGUUUUGGCAUUGAUAUUAAAUAUAUAUUAAUAGUAAUUGAGACUUAAUGUUUAGAGGUGAAUUUAUAAAACUUUCUAUCUCUUUUUUACU